rnacentral:snoRNA from 1 species
AAUUCUGUUAUCUUCAGCACCUGAGCAGAAGCAAAAUUGAUUGCAAAAUAU